AAAGGAAUUGACGGGGGCCCGCACAAGCGGUGGAGCAUGCGGGUUAAUCGGAUGAUACGCCGAGAACCUUACCAGGGCUUGAAAUGGCUGCGAAAGCCAGUGAAAGCCGGUCCCCUGAGCAAUCAGGCGCAGUCACAGGUGGUGCAUGGUUGUCGUCAGCUCGUGCCGUGAGGUGUUGGGUUAAGUCCCGCAACGAGCGCAACCCUCGCCGGAUGUUGCCAGCGGUCCCAGCAAUGGGAGCCGGGAACUCUUCCGGGACUGCCCGAGUAAUCGGGAGGAAGGAGAGGAUGACGUCAAAUCGGCAUGCCCCUUACGCCCUGGGCUGCACGCGUGCUACAAUGGCGGGUACAAAGGGCAGCUAAGCCGCGAGGUGGAGCUAAUCCCCCAAAACCCGUCCCAGUUCGGAUCGGAUGUCUGCAACUCGACUCCGUGAAGUCGGAAUCGCUAGUAACCGUGGAUCAGCAACGCCACGGUGAAUACGUUCCCGGGCCUUGUACACACCGCCCGU
rnacentral:rRNA from 1 species